ACCAGCCUGGGUCUGUCUGUCUUAGCAUCAGGAGCAGCAGCCACACCUUUAACCCGCUCUCGGGAGGCAGAGGCAGGCCCGUCUCGGACAGAAGCAAGGUGGUCAAAGUCCAUGUGAACAAGCACGCCUUCGAUUCCCCUGCUGGGCUUCUGUGUGGGUGUUUCUGACACCCCUGGCCUCCCCAGCACUUACCAAAACCAGCUCACAGCAGCAAAUUCUGCCACCGUUUCCAAGAUGCCCAUGUGCACGUCUCCAGCAACCAGGAGUGCCACUUGCAAGGACUUGAAUGUCAUCCAUCUGAAAUGCCCUCAUCAGGGAGGUCAUGACCUCUUCCAACAUCUGGGAGAGGGAAGCCCUGACUCUCACCACGGACCAUCAGCAACACAGCCAUUUCAUUCACACUGACCAUUUGUGAGCACGGUGCUGGGCAUAAAACCCAGGCUUGUGCACACUUGGCGAGCACUCUGCCACUGAAGGACUCCCCACACCAAGUUUUGUGAGAAAGGUCUCAGUGUGUAGUCCAGGCUGGCUGGGCAGUCUCUAUCCUUCCGACUCUCCUGAGUGCCGGGAUUAUAGGGGUGUCCACCACACCUGGCUAAACCAACUCCUUAUAAUCCUGGACUUCCUUUUUCCUAAUUUAACUUGAGCCCCUGAUCACACCCUCUUGACUACCUUAUUCUCACUCUCUGAAAUGUUCUGUCCCCACUGCAAAGAUCCGGAGUUUAGUGCCUUCUCUGGAGGAGCUGUUAAAUGAAAUACAUCUUGUAGCUUUAAGUCCA